CUGGGAGAAAAGUGUUGUUUCAGACCCGGUCAAAACUCCAGAACUACAAGGAAACUUUUAGAAAUGAGAGCAUUGUGUUUACAUUCGCAUGUCCCCUUUCACCUGAUGAGGUGACACUGGGAAGACACACCGGAGAAGAAAGCUAAAUACUUCUGAGGAACUGGCACUGAAUUCCAAAGCUGCCAGAGAUGGUACUGGAUUGGAAUUUACAACCUUUCAUUUUCCAGGCUCCUCUUAAUGUGAUUUCGCCUGCAAUGAUAGCUCUGGCUGACAAAUAACUGACGUGGUAUCUAGCGCAAAUGAAGAGCCGCAUGAUGCUGAGACUAUCAAUCUAUCCAGUUUUCGGCUUCCUUUCUCCACAUCCCUGAUGUGCCCAGAGCAGCUCAUGAAGCUCCUUCCUGCACUAUGUGGGCUGGCCACCAGGAGGAAGCCCCCAGCUUAGUCCCAGCUUGAUUUCUCUGUAUCCUACAAAAAUGUCGGGGAAACUACUUCCAUGAAUUCUCAC
rnacentral:lncRNA from 1 species